ensembl:lncRNA
GGGUGGGUCUGUUUUUUGUAGCGUUUUGGGUCGCUAUUGGUCUGUGACUCGACCUGAUCCGACGUCAUGCUGGCCUCUCCUUGUUGUAAGGAUUGUUCGGCGCCGCUGGAUUUGGACGACGGGCACGACCGGUGCGCCUCGUGCCUCGGUGUGGACCACCUUCGGGACGGCCUCACCGACGCGGCGUGUGUGGACUGUCGGGUAAUGCCGUUGUCCUUACGUAAUACCCGGUUGGCCACGUGCGAGGGUUCUACGUGCUGGCCGCAGAGGUUGUCUUCCUCUCUGCUUCCGGAUGGGCAGGCCACGGUGGUGGGGUGCUCCGCGGCGGGAGCCGCCCCCUCCGCCGCACGGAAGCGCUCCACUACAGGAGCCGCGGUCUCUGCCAGAAAACGAUCCAAGGUGGGUCGUCCAUCGGGGCUAGCGGUGAAGGUCGACCACUUGUCUUCGGAGCUGGCCCAGAUGAAGGCUCUCCUCCAGUCCCUUCACGGAGCUGGUCCUGCUCACGGGGUGGUUGUGCAGGGGCAUGAGGACGAGGCGUCUGUUCACGACCAGGACGUCCUGUCUGUGGCAGCGUCGGACUCGCAAUUUCGGGAUGCCGACCUGCAUUCGCCUGAAUUGGCGGACGUGUAUACAGAGGCAUCUGAACUGGGCACUUGUGUGUCUGAUGUCUCUGCGGGGGAUAGUGAGGGCUCUGCCAUCUCCGCCAUUCGUACUGCGCUGGCGCGCUUGCACCUGGACGCCCCCCCUGCGCAGUCUACUGCCUCAAGUGCCUUUUUUAGGCGGCAGGUUUCGUCCACCUCUUUUUUGGUUCCCCCCUCCGCGGAGUACGUCGGUCAGCUCCAUGCCUGCUGGACCGACACUAAGGCAUAUUCCAAGCCUACUGCCGAUGGUAGGGCGCUUGCUUCCAUGCAGGAGGCGCCGAAACUGGGCUUGGAUCGCAUGCCGGCGGUCGAACCGGCAGUGGCCUCCCUUAUUGUGUCUCCAGAGGAGGCCCUCAGAUCCGAUGCGAGGUGCCCGCGCCCUCAGUGUCGGGCCACUGAUGAGCUUUUGUGUAGAGCUUAUGAGGCCGGGGCUCGUAUGGGGCGUAUCGGGAAUUCCCUGUCCCAUUUGCUGCUGGGACUGGCUGCGUCACUGGAGGAUGUUGAUCUAGAUUUGCCUACGCAGGGUCUUGUUGACACUUCUCUGCAGGCUUUUGCGUUUAUGUCGAGGGAGCUGGGCCGCCUGCUCUCCACUCUUACGUUGGCUCGGAGGCAAGUCUGGCUGUCCCAGUCUCCUCUGACCGAGUCCUGUAGGAGGACUCUGCGGGGUCUCCCGGUCCACCCGGGGGAACUCUUUGGUUCGGCGGCAAUGGAGGCUCUGCACCGUACGGCACAGGCCACCCAGACGCGUCAGCAGUUGGCGGGCCUUCACCGGCGUGCACCUCCACGGGCGUCUGCGCCGGGUCCACCCCCAAGGGUUUCCCCUCCCUCGGCGGAUCCCUUUGCUGUUCCUCGGCGACCGCUUACAAGGUCUGACCAUUUUCGUGGCGAUCGACCUCGGACGCAGGCCGCUCGUCUGCCCCGCAUGGAGCGACAGAGUCGGCAACCCUCACGAUCCACUAGGG